UACGGGGGGGGCAAGCGUUGUUCGGAAUUACUGGGCGUAAAGGGCUCGUAGGCGGCCAACUAAGUCGGAUGUGAAAUCCCCAGACUUAACCUGGGAACUGCAUCCGAUACUGGAUGGCUUGAAUCCGGGAGAGGGAUGCAGAAUUCCAGGUGUAGCGGUGAAAUGCGUAGAUAUCUGGAGGAAUACCGGUGGCGAAGGCGGCAUCCUGGACCGGCAUUGACGCUGAGUGAGCGAAAGCCAGGGGAGCAAACGGG
rnacentral:rRNA from 1 species